rnacentral:rRNA from 1 species
CACGUAGGGUGCGAGCGUUGUCCGGAAUUAUUGGGCGUAAAGAGCUCGUAGGCGGUGUGUCGCGUCGGCCGUGAAAACCUGCAGCUUAACUGUGGGCUUGCGGUCGAUACGGGCAUCACUGGAGUUCGGCAGGGGAGACUGGAAUUCCUGGUGUAGCGGUGGAAUGCGCAGAUAUCAGGAGGAACACCGGUGGCGAAGGCGGGUCUCUGGGCAGUAACUGACGCUGGAGGAGCGAAAGCCGUGGGGAGCGAACAGG